CUUGCUGCUUUGCUGACGAGUGGCGGACGGGUGAGUAAUGUCUGGGGAUCUGCCUGAUGGAGGGGGAUAACUACUGGAAACGGUAGCUAAUACCGCAUAACGUCGCAAGACCAAAGAGGGGGACCUUCGGGCCUCUUGCCAUCAGAUGAACCCAGAUGGGAUUAGCUAGUAGGUGGGGUAACGGCUCACCUAGGCGACGAUCCCUAGCUGGUCUGAGAGGAUGACCAGCCACACUGGAACUGAGACACGGUCCAGACUCCUACNGGAGGCAGCAGUGGGGAAUAUUGCACAAUGGGCGCAAGCCUGAUGCAGCCAUGCCGCGUGUAUGAAGAANGCCUUCGGGUUGUAAAGUACUUUCAGCGAGGANGAAGGUGGUGAGCUUAAUACNCUCAUCAAUUGACGUUACUCGCANAAGAAGCACCGGCUAACUCCGUGCCAGCANCCGCGGUAAUACGGAGGGUGCNAGCGUUAAUCGGAAUUACUGGGCGUAAAGCGCACGCANGNGGUCUGUNAAGUCNGAUGUGAAAUCCCCGGGCUCAACCUGGGAACUGCACCCGAANCUGGNAGGCUUGAGUCUCGUNUAGGGGAGUAGAAUUCCANGUGUAGCGGNGAAAUGCNUNGANAUCUGGAGGAAUACCGUUGGCGAAGGCNGCCCCCUUGGACNAAAAAUGACGCUUCGGUGCGAUAGNUUGGGGAGCAAACANGAUUAGAUUCCCCUGGNAGUCCACCCCCUCACCGAUGUCAACUUGNAAGUUAUUAUCUUCCCGAGNGGAUUCCCUAUGCUGACGNANUUAGUUGACUGCCUGGGCAG
rnacentral:rRNA from 1 species